GCCCAUAAGACUGGGAUAACUCCGGGAAACCGGGGCUAAUACCGGAUAACAUUUUGAACCGCAUGGUUCGAAAUUGAAAGGCGGCUUCGGCUGUCACUUAUGGAUGGACCCGCGUCGCAUUAGCUAGUUGGUGAGGUAACGGCUCACCAAGGCAACGAUGCGUAGCCGACCUGAGAGGGUGAUCGGCCACACUGGGACUGAGACACGGCCCAGACUCCUACGGGAGGCAGCAGUAGGGAAUCUUCCGCAAUG
rnacentral:rRNA from 1 species